rnacentral:rRNA from 1 species
AAACGAUGAGUGCUAGGUGUUAGGGGUUUCGAUAACCCUUGGUGCCGAAGUUAACACAUUAAGCAUUCCGCCUGGGGAGUACGGUCGCAAGACUGAAACUCAAAGGAAUUGACGGGACCCGCACAAGCAGUGGAGUAUGUGGUUUAAUUCGAAGCAACGCGAAGAACCUUACCAGGUCUUGACAUCCCUCUGACCGGUACAGAGAUGUACCUUUCCUUCGGGACAGAGGAGACAGGUGGUGCAUGGUUGUCGUCAGCUCGUGUCGUGAGAUGUUGGGUUAAGUCCCGCAACGAGCGCAACCCUUAUAUUUAGUUGCCAGCACUUCGGGUGGGCACUCUAGAUAGACUGCCGGUGACAAACCGGAGGAAGGUGGGGAUGACGUCAAAUCAUCAUGCCCCUUAUGACCUGGGCUACACACGUACUACAAUGGCCGGUACAACGGGCUGCGAAAUCGCGAGAUGGAGCCAAUCCCAACAAAGCCGGUCUCAGUUCGGAUUGCAGGCUGCAACUCGCCUGCAUGAAGUCGGAAUUGCUAGUAAUCGCGGAUCAGCAUGCCGCGGUGAAUACGUUCCCGGGUCUUGUACACACCGCCCGUCACACCACGAGAGUUUAUAACACCCGAAGUCGGUGGGGUAACCGCAAGGAGCCAGCCGCCGAAGGUGGGAUAGAUGAUUGGG